rnacentral:rRNA from 1 species
UACGUAGGGUGCAAGCGUUGUCCGGAAUUAUUGGGCGUAAAGAGCUCGUAGGCGGUCUGUCGCGUCGGCUGUGAAAACCCGGGGCUCAACCCCGGGCCUGCAGUCGAUACGGGCAGACUAGAGUGCGGUAGGGGAGACUGGAAUUCCUGGUGUAGCGGUGAAAUGCGCAGAUAUCAGGAGGAACACCGGUGGCGAAGGCGGGUCUCUGGGCCUGUACUGACGCUGAGGAGCGAAAGCGUGGGGAGCGAACAGG